GCUAAUUCGGUGCGAGGAGCGGGGGUAAUCGGGGGGGGCCGAGCGUUAAUCGGAAUUACUGGGCGUAAAGCGGUCGCAGGCGGUUUGUUAAGCGAGAUGUGAAAGCCCUGGGCUCAACCUAGGAAUAGCAUUUCGAACUGGCGAACUAGAGUCUUGUAGAGGGGGGUAGAAUUCCAGGUGUAGCGGUGAAAUGCGUAGAGAUCUGGAGGAAUACCGGUGGCGAAGGCGGCCCCCUGGACAAAGACUGACGCUCAUGCACGAAAGCGUGGGGAGCAAACAGGAUUAGAUACCCCAGUAGUC
rnacentral:rRNA from 1 species